rnacentral:rRNA from 1 species
UACGUAGGCAGCGAGCGUUGUUCGGAGUUACUGGGCGUAAAGGGUGUGUAGGCGGUUGUUUAAGUUUGGUGUAAAAUCUCCCGGCUCAACUGGGAGGGUGCGCCGAAUACUGAAUGACUUGGAGUGCGGGAGAGGAAAGUGGAAUUCCUGGUGUAGCGGUGAAAUGCGUAGAUAUCAGGAGGAACACCGGUGGUGUAGACGGCUUUCUGGACCGUAACUGACGCUGAGACACGAAAGCGUGGGUAGCAAACAGG